ensembl:lncRNA ZBED3-AS1 ZBED3 antisense RNA 1
GGGAGGCCGGCAGGGGCGUCCGCGGUCGCUGCUCACCUGCGCUCCCCGCUGCCCGGCCCAGCCCGCCUCGCCACCGAGUCUGGAAGCCCACACUCACCCCUUUACCCGGGAAACGCGGCCGGAGCCGGCGGCGGGUCGGGAGUCCGAGAUGGUAGAUCCCCCUCCAGGCGCCUCGCUGACAUUUUGUCCCGGACGGAAAACCUCCGCGCGUGCCCCUUAAAGACACAGCGCUGCAUUCACACGUCUGCGGGGAAAGGGGGGCCGUCACGUGUGGCCUUCGCCCGAAAGCGGUAGGGGAGUCGCUCUGAAACCGCCAAGGAUCGCGAGCGACAGAUUUGUGUUGGCCAGGGUUUUAAGAUGACGCAAUAGCUGAGUGUGGUUGAAAUGUAACUAUUGUUUUACAACUUUGCAUUAACCUUCCAAGACCUGAAUUCCCGGGCCUGAGUCUCAGAGCGCGGUUUGCAUCUUUGCAGGCUGUAGGCGCAUGAUGUCACAAGUUAUUGGAAGAAAUCCCUCCAACCUAGGUUGGGACAGAUGAAGGCGGCGCUUAUUGGUGUUCACCAAAACACCAGCAUGGUGUACCAGCUUUGGCUAGAUGAUGCUCAGGAAAACACAGAUCCUGGUGCCGAACAUGAGGACAGGGCAGGCCGAAGGAGAAAGUGGAAGGAGGGGAGCUUCUCUCUCAGCCUCAUCCUUCUGGGCCUGGAUGCUGGAGAGUCAUGAGGUGCUUCAGAGUACUCUGGGUGAGGAGGGAAAGAUGGUGCCCACCACAUGGAGGCCAGCCUAGGUCUUGUAUGAAACCUGUGAGGAGAUUCUCUCUCCCUUGCUGUCUUUGAAAAAGCAAGUUGCCAUGUGAAGAGGGCCAUAUAGCAUAGGAGCUGAAGGCAGCCUCCAACUGACGGCAAGAAAAUGAGGUCCUCAGUCUGACAACCUGCAAGAAACUGAAUGUUCUAAAAGCCACAUGAGCUUGGGAGCAGAUCUGACCCCAGCCAAAUCUCUGAAGUCCGCAGGCAGGAAAUGAAGAUCAGAAAAAGGCUAUUGUCUCAUGAAUAUGAGCCAGACUCCACAGAAGCUGGAGUCCUUCAUUAUGGAGCUAAACACAUACACCUGGCUUAGGAGUCAGAAAAACUGAAAGAGAAUUCAGGGAAGUAGAGAAAUUGCAAGCCCAGAUGCUGCUUCAUACCAAAGAAGCAAGUCAGCAGGUCAGCAACAAUGUGUAUCAGUUCCAAAAUGACUUACACAGGUACCAAGACAAGACAUUAUAUACACUUAUAUAGUCAAAUACUUUAAAACUGUUAACAAACUUGCUACAAUUGUCUCAUUUGUCUUUUAACCUUAAUAUCACAGAUCAAGUUUGUAAUCUCAAAAGUUCACCCUGGCUGCUGUGUGGAGUAUUCUCUUAUCUGCUCAUAUUACACUGUGCUUAUUCAUUCAUCAGUUAAUGGAAAUUUGGGUUGUUUCCUGAUUUUGACUGUAAUGAAUAAUGUUGCUGUAAACAUUCAUGUACAGUUUUGUGUGGACAUGCUUUUCUUUCUCUUGGGUAGGUUCCUAUGAGUGGAAUCACUAGAUUGUAUGGUAAAUGUAUGUUUAACUUUUAAAGAAACUGUCAAACUGUUUUCUAACAUGAACGGGCCAUUUUACGUUCUUAUCAACAAUAUAUGAUGGUUUCAAUUUUCCCACAUCCUCACCAA